AAGUAUUAGCAACAGUUUCAUGCAAACAUUUUGAAACUGAUAUUUCUAAGAAAUGACCUAUCUGGGAACCACUGUGCUAUGGUACUACAUAAAACUAAUCCAGUUUUAAGUUAGCAUUUAUUACAAAAACAUGUAAGAAUUUCAGAGCACAAGAAGGGGGUAUCCUAGUACCCUUCUCAUAUCUACCUACGCCAUUGGUCUUUGGCUUUGGCUCAUGUGUGUACGGGCGUGGUCUCCAAUCCAAUGGGAGGAUCAAUGGCGAGACUGGGCGAGACAGUCAACUUAAAAAAUACACUCAACGGUACUAAUUUAUAUAGA